AGAGCCCUCCUACCCUCCAGCAGAUCCACACUCACACCCAGCUUGGUGUUACCACAGUUCCUUGAGGCCCCAGAGUGUGCCAAUGGUCUCCAUGAUUCCAUGAGGCCUCCCGGAAUCACAAUGUCCCUUUGCUUCCAUGGAACCCCUUGGUGUCACAAAGUCCCUUGGAUCCUUGGGUCCCGCAGUGUCACAAUGGCGCCGUGGUCCCCCAAGGCCCUGCAGUGUCCCAGUGGAUCCUUGGUUCCAUGAGGUCUGGCAGCACAGCAAUGCUCUCCUUGGUUCCCACUCUCUUUUAUGCCUCUCACUGUCAGAUAAUAGAAGGACACCUGGCAGAUGAAGGGGAGUAGGAGUGGAUAUCUACUCGAGGAGGGAAUAAUAAAAAUUCCUUCUGGCCCCCACUCCCCAGCCAGGUGCCACUUCAGAACAGCUAUGAGCCCCUGGAUCUAGAGAGUCAACCGCAUGAUUUAGAAGAAAAUUAUCUGCCCAGUGAGCCUCCCAAAUUAUGAUUCAUGUCUGAGAAGGAUUACCACCUGUAACAUCAAAAAGGAAAGAAGUAUAAUCGUGGUCUUAACUAGAAAGAGGACCUGGAAUGUUAGACCGAAAAAGUGGAAUCUCCUAAUCUCCUAUGAGGACGGAGGCCCCAGCUCUGCCUGGAGACCAGCGGACAAAGCUGCAUCCUCCUCCUCCUCCUCCGUGCCACUCCUGGGAGCAGCGGCAGCGUGGGUGCAACCCGUCGAUUUCUCCCCACCUGAGCUGAUUCUUUUUAACAAAGGCAUUAAAAAGGAGAAAGA